UACGGAGGGUGCAAGCGUUAUCCGGAUUCACUGGGUUUAAAGGGUGCGUAGGUGGGUUGGUAAGUCAGUGGUGAAAUCUCCGGGCUUAACCUGGAAACUGCCAUUGAUACUAUCAAUCUUGAAUACCUUGGAGGUGAGCGGAAUAUGUCAUGUAGCGGUGAAAUGCUUAGAUAUGACAUAGAACACCAAUUGCGAAGGCAGCUCACUACACAAUAUUGACGCUGAGGCACGAAAGCGUGGGGAUCAAACAGG
rnacentral:rRNA from 1 species